rnacentral:rRNA from 1 species
AGCGAACGUUUGCGGCGGGCUUAACACAUGCAAGUCGAACGGGCUGUUCCUUCGGGGGCAGUCAGUGGCGCACGGGUGCGUAACACGUAGGUAAUCAACCCUCUGGUUGGGGAUAACACUUCGAAAGGAGUGCUAAUACCCGGUAUGGCGCAGCGGUCUUCGGAUCGCGGCGAGAAAGACCCGCAAGGGUUGCCAGAGGACGAGCCUGCGGCCCAUCAGCUAGUUGGCGAGGUAACGGCUCACCAAGGCGAAGACGGGUAGCUGGUCUGAGAGGAUGAUCAGCCACACUGGAACUGAGACACGGUCCAGACUCCUACGGGAGGCAGCAGUGGGGAAUAUUGCGCAAUGGGCGAAAGCCUGACGCAGCCACGCCGCGUGAGCGAUGAAGGCCUCGGUCGUAAGACGUCUCGUGGGAGGAGGAAGAAGUAAAAGAACCGUACGUGUAAGGAAGACGAGGACCGUUC